rnacentral:rRNA from 1 species
GAGGAGGAAAGCGGGGGACCGUAAGGCCUCGCGCGUUUGGAGCGGCCGAUGGCAGAUUAGGUAGUUGGUGGGGUAAAGGCUUACCAAGCCUACGAUCUGUAGCUGGUCUGAGAGGACGACCAGCCACACUGGGACUGAGACACGGCCCAGACUCCUACGGGAGGCAGCAGUGGGGAAUUUUGGACAAUGGGCGAAAGCCUGAUCCAGCAAUGCCGCGUGCAGGAUGAAGGCCUUCGGGUUGUAAACUGCUUUUGUACGGAACGAAAAGGCGCCUACUAAUACUGGGUGUUGAUGACGGUACCGUAAGAAUAAGCACCGGCUAACUACGUGCCAGCAGCCGCGGUAAUACGUAGGGUGCAAGCGUUAAUCGGAAUUACUGGGCGUAAAGCGUGCGCAGGCGGUGUUGUAAGACAGUUGUGAAAUCCCCGGGCUCAACCUGGGAACUGCAUCUGUGACUGCAAUGCUGGAGUGCGGCAGAGGGGGAUGGAAUUCCGCGUGUAGCAGUGAAAUGCGUAGAUAUGCGGAGGAACACCGAUGGCGAAGGCAAUCCCCUGGGC